rnacentral:rRNA from 1 species
UCGCCUGUUUAUCAAAACAUAGCCUGAAGAAUAUAUUUUAGGUGAAAUCUGCUCAGUGUGCUUUAAAAUAAUAAAUAGCCGCGGUACUUUGACCGUGCUAAGGUAGCAUAAUAAGUUGGCUUUUAAAUGAGGUCGAGUAUGAAUGAAAGAACGUAGCUAAGCUGUCUCAAGACUAUUUUAUCGAAUUUACUGUGUAGAUGAAAAAGUCUAUAUAAAUAUAAAAGACGAGAAGACCCUUAGAAUUUAAACUAUACUGGAAAAUAUUUCCUGAAUGUUUUUGUUGGGGCGACAUAGAAACAGAAAAACUUUCUGGAAGAAACAUGACGAUUUUUAUAAGAACGGAAAAAUUACCUGAGGGAUAACAGCAUAAUUAUAAAAAUUAGUUUGUGACCUCGAUGUUGGACUAGGAAAUUAGUAGACUAGCCGUUUACUAUAUUGGUUCUGUUCGAACUGUUUUUCCUACGUGAUCUGAGUUCAGACCG